rnacentral:SRP_RNA from 1 species
GUGUGCUAUGUGGGGCGGUAGCGGUGCCUCUUCUUGCGACUCGUCGUAAGAACCAGUAACCCGCUAUAACUGGGCAGAACUCCCUGCGGAGGUUUUGUUGUGCUGUAGUUCUCUAUAGGCAAGUGGCGACGAAGGUUGGGUCCUAUGCAAUAUGAUGGUGGUCGAACCCCGCCAGGUCCGGAAGGAAGCAACGGUAGCCAUUUUUUAUAUGUGCCGUAGGGUUGCCUGGCUGGAGCUGGCUACCUGUGGCGACUACAGUAUAGCGAAUCGAGGCAGGGUGCACGC